AGUGGCGGACGGGUGAGUAACGCGUAAGAACCUAACUUCAGGACGGGGACAACAGUUGGAAACGACUGCUAAUACCCGAUGUGCCGCAAGGUGAAACCUAAUUGGCCUGGAGAAGAGCUUGCGUCUGAUUAGCUAGUUGGUGGGGUAAAGGCCUACCAAGGCGACGAUCAGUAGCUGGUCUGAGAGGAUGAGCAGCCACACUGGGACUGAGACACGACCCAGACUCCUACGGGAGGCAGCAGUGGGGAAUUUUCCGCAAUGGGCGAAAGCCUGACGGAGCAACGCCGCGUGAGGGAGGAAGGUCUUUGGAUUGUAAACCUCUUUUCUCAAGGAAGAAGUUCUGACGGUACUUGAGGAAUCAGCCUCGGCUAACUCCGUGCCAGCAGCCGCGGUAAUACGGGGGAGGCAAGCGUUAUCCGGAAUUAUUGGGCGUAAAGCGUCCGCAGGUGGUCAGCCAAGUCUGCCGUCAAAUCAGGUUGCUUAACGACCUAAAGGCGGUGGAAACUGGCAGACUAGAGAGCAGUAGGGGUAGCAGGAAUUCCCAGUGUAGCGGUGAAAUGCGUAGAGAUUGGGAAGAACAUCGGUGGCGAAAGCGUGCUACUGGGCUGUAUCUGACACUCAGGGACGAAAGCUAGGGGAGCGAAAGGGAUUAGAUACCCCUGUAGUCCUAGCCGUAAACGAUGGAUACUAGGCGUGGCUU
rnacentral:rRNA from 1 species